rnacentral:sRNA from 3 species
AUAUCUCUCCGUACGGGAAGGAUGAGAAGCUUCGACUAAGGUUCGAUUCGAGCGCAGCGAGAACGCGUUGCCGCAGGCAACGACCCGAAGGGCGAAGCGCGCAGCGCUGAGUCAUCCUUCCCCCA